GCAUUUCAAUACAGUGACCCAAUUACUUUCUGUCAACAAAUUCACCAGCAAAAUAAAGGGGCUAACACAUUAAUGAGAUUUCCUGAGACUGCCCUGUAGAGAUGCUUGCAGACCACUGUACCCGGCCAAGAUCCAUGAAUUCUUCUGCACAUCAGACACUACUUAUACUUUUUACUUGGAUCAUCUGAUGUCUUGACUUCCAGAAAUGCAUUUCCCAUUGUUUAUGAUAAUAGGAGUUCUUUUCCUCUUUAAACUCUGGUCCUUUGCUCUGGAGAAGCCAGGCACCAUGGCAUGAGGCAGCCCUGUGGAGAGGUUCAUGUGGUACAGGACCAGGCCUGCAGCAUCACUUGAGAGAGGCAACAUAACUCUUUUACUGACUAUCACAGAUAGGACCACAAAACAGCCUUGUAAACUCAUCCUAGAGGAUCUAAAAGAGAACCCCCUCAUAACAGAAUGGCAUUCCCAGCUUGCAGGCUCUGAGACUCCAUUGAGUCAUGCCACAUGUAUGGAAAAUGAUUUUUGGAGUGUUAUUCUAUCUAAGGAAAAACAAAGCAAAUUUUCCACUUUCAAGAUUAAAGGACAUUCUGUCUACAUUAAGACAAGCAGGGAUCAUUCUCAGGGAUAGAUUUCAUCCAAUUCCUCUACAAAGAAGUAAGUUACUGUUGGAUUAAGAAUAUCCAAGACAAUGGUCACAACUUGAAAGCACAUGGAAAAACAUGAAUUAUUUUUAUAAUGUCAGCUAAUCCACAGCUGUGCCACCUGUUAGUAUGGAUGCUAUCCAAAAGGAUUUUUGAAAGCUUGUUAUCCAAAUGCAGAAAUGGCAGCUGAAGAGAUGAUUUGUGACAGCAUUUGCUGAGACGAAGUCUGUCCACUAGAUGGAUAAAAUCAGUUCCCUUUUCAUAGGUUGAUCAUCUACAUCUGCUAGUGACCCAGUCCCUGAGAGUCACCAAGAAUUGAUUCCACUGAGGCGAUGGCAGGCGGGGCUUUGGUGUUGGAAAAGUCAGUGGUUGAUAUGGACAGCACAGACUCACAUAAGCUGCUGGUUUAUUACACUAGAAAAAUAAGGGAUCCCUUGACCCAGCUCGGCAAGUGUGAAAUCACGAAAUAAAUGAAGGUUAACAAAGACUGGUCUAAGGAAUAGUUCACUACAAUACCGCAAUGCUCUUCUCACUAAUACUCGACUCUGCAUUUCGGUACUUAUAUCUGAAAGAUUUGCAAAUAAUGACAACAUUCGUGCCAGACAUUACUGCAAGUGAGGAACAGACUAAAGGAGAGGAAGGAACAAAAUGCCUUCCAAGAGAGAAACAUUCAUUAGCCUUACUGGCAAGUGUCUAAAGCAAACAAGGAAACUGCAAAAUAAUUACUUAGUUACAAAUAAACGCUUUUAGCACAGUACCUCUUUUAAUGCAAGAGAAAGAAAACCAGCUACAACCACCUAAAAUCAAAUGGGGAGUUUCAUGGUGCACAUCCACAAAGUGGACAUGUCAGGACAGGGGAACAUCUGGAUCACAAGAAUGCCGGUUCCCAAAGACAAUAAGGAUGGUUUC
rnacentral:lncRNA from 10 species